rnacentral:rRNA from 1 species
ACCUGACCCCAUGCCGAACUCAGAAGUGAAACGACGGAGGGCCGAUGGUAGUGUGGGGUCUCCCCAUGCGAGAGUAGGGAACUGCCAACC